GUCCACGCCCUAAACGAUGCACACUAGAUCGAUGCGGGUUUCACCCCGUAUUGGUCGUAGAGAAAUUGAUAAGUGUGCCGCCUGGGAAGUACGGUCGCAAGGCUAAAACUCAAAGAAAUUGACGGGGGCUCACACAAGCGGUGGAGCAUGUUGCUUAAUUCGAAGCAACGCGAAGAACCUUACCUGGGUUUGACAUGCAUGGAUUAGUUCCUGGAAACAGGAAUGAGGCCCGCAAGGGUACAACAUGCACAGGUGCUGCAUGGCUGUCGU
rnacentral:rRNA from 1 species